rnacentral:snRNA from 1 species
GUGCUUGCUUUGGCAGCACAUAUACUAAAAUUGGGAUGACACAGAGGAGAUCAGCAUGGCCCCUGCACAAGGAUGACAUAUAAAGUCAUGAAGCAUUCCAUAUUUUU